UGCAAGUCCUAUUGGACGCAAGGCUGUGUCUUUGAGAGUUUGGGUCCGCCUGGCCAGAUGCCCAUGUGUAUAUGUCUCUGGCAUGUGUCCACUAUUAAUGCCAUAAUCCCCGUAAGUCACACGCACUGCCCGCUGCCCCCGUCAGAGCAGCGCAGGUCAGUUUCCCCCCAACAGGGGCGAAGUGAGGACGUGGUUCUGGACUCCCUGAGUCUGACCUUUAUUCUCUUUGUAUGCGGGGGAACAUCGGUCAUCAGUGAGAACCUUGUCUGAGGAAUGCGAGGAGAUGGAACAGCAGGCCAGGGAAUUCUACUUCAGCUGCACGGCGGUGUCCAUAAAUCACAGCCAGGGCCGUAUUUCAAGGCCUCGCUGGCUCUGAACAGCGUGUAAUGUAAACAGGUUAAUGCACCGUUUCAUUGUUCCGGCACGAGGUCUGCUGAAGGCCCUGUUCGACUCGCCGCUGAUUAAGUGAAAAACAAGCACAUUAAAAAUACGUCUGAUACGUCUGUGUUUCCACCACAGUUUCCACCUCACUGAUACCUUGAAAAGUUGCCUACUUCUUCUAUUCAUUUCAAACCAACCUUUUUCAAGUCACCAUAGAAUCUAGAAUUUGGAAACUAUUUUUAAGGCUUUGUUAAUGAAUUAUGUAGUGUUGGUGUUGGUGUUAUUAGUGGCCGUUGUCUGAGACGUCCAACAACGUACCCGGUGUACAAGGGGUAUUAAGAGUGCAGUGAACGGAGGGAAACAGAGGAGAAGGAGAGGUGAUGGUCGCUGUGCUACACCUGGGCGUGUGACGUGUUGACAGGAGGGGGUGUAAAUCGUCCAGAAUGAGGAAGUAGGGGGUGUGAGAGCUGUCAAUCAGGCUCCUCUACUUUUAAAAGUUGUUUAUAAAAAACAUUAUUAAAGUUCUUCUUUUGGUAUUCAGAAAUAAUUACUCUCCAAUAAAAAUGGCUAUGUGGGU
rnacentral:lncRNA from 1 species